rnacentral:misc_RNA from 1 species
GACGGAGGGCGCGAGCGUUGUUCGGAAUCACUGGGCGUAAAGCGCGCGCAGGCGGAUGUGGCAAGUCGGGAGUGAAAUUCCGGGGCUCAACCCCGGAACCGCUCCCGAGACCGUUCGUCUAGGGACCGGUAGAGGCCGGUGGAAUUCCCGGUGUAGCGGUGGAAUGCGUAGAGAUCGGGAAGAACACCAGUGGCGAAGGCGGCCGGCUGGGCCGGGUCCGACGCUGAGGCGCGAAAGCGUGGGGAGCAAACAGG